rnacentral:lncRNA from 1 species
AUCCUACAUAUUUACUCUGCUAAUGAGUCCCUGUAUAACAGAGGUAUGGCUCAUGCUUUCUCAAAGGUCUUUGCUGGACCAGGACUCAAAAUCUCCAGUCCUAGCCUUAAAAGUAGGAUGCUGCUUUUCUGGGUCACCUGUAUGUGAAUCAAUGAAUAAACUAAGAAAAAUAGCUCUGGAAGAGCACUCAUAGAGAGCAUAGAAGCUGAACAGAUUCCUUAAAGGAAUAUUAUG